CGGCACGCCUUAUACAUGCAAGUCGAACGAAGUAGCAAUACUUAGUGGCAGACGGGUGAGUAACAUGUAGGUAUCUUCCCUUUGGUGAGGAAUAACACGAGGAAACUUGUGCUAAUACCUCAUAAGUCUUUACGGAGAAAGCUUUAUGCGCCAAAGGAUGAGCCUGCACUUGAUUAGUUUGUUGGUGGGGUAAUGGCCUACCAAGACUUUGAUCUAUAGCUGAUCUGAGAGGAUGAUCAGCCACAUUGGGACUGAGACACGGCCCAAACUCCUACGGGAGGCAGCAGUAGGGAAUAUUGCACAAUGGAGGAAACUCUGAUGCAGCGAUGCCGCGUGAGUGAAGAAGGCCUUUGGGUUGUAAAGCUCUUUCGUCGGGGAAGAAAAUGACUGUACCCGAAUAAGAAGGUCCGGCUAACUUCGUGCCAGCAGCCGCGGUAAUACGAAGGGACCUAGCGUAGUUCGGAAUUACUGGGCUUAAAGAGUUCGUAGGUGGUUAAAAAAGUUGGUGGUGAAAUCCCAGAGCUUAACUCUGGAACUGCCAUCAAAACUUUUUAGCUAGAGUAUGAUAGAGGAAAGCAGAAUUUCUAGUGUAGAGGUGAAAUUCGUAGAUAUUAGAAAGAAUACCAAUUGCGAAGGCAGCUUUCUGGAUCAUUACUGACGCUGAGGAACGAAAGCAUGGGUAGCGAAGAGGAUUAGAUACCCUCGUAGUCCAUGCCGUAAACGAUGUGUGUUAGACGUUGGAAAUUUAUUUUCAGUGUCGCAGCGAAAGCAUUAAACACACCGCCUGGGGAGUACG
rnacentral:rRNA from 1 species